rnacentral:rRNA from 1 species
UAUUUUAAAGAGAGUUUGAUCCUGGCUCAGGACGAACGCUGGCGGCGUGCCUAAUACAUGCAAGUCGAACGAACGGAGGAAGAGCUUGCUCUUCCAAAGUUAGUGGCGGACGGGUGAGUAACACGUGGGCAACCUGCCUGUAAGUUGGGGAUAACUCCGGGAAACCGGGGCUAAUACCGAAUGAUAGAGUGUGGCGCAUGCCACGCUUUUGAAAGAUGGUUUCGGCUAUCGCUUACAGAUGGGCCCGCGGUGCAUUAGCUAGUUGGUAGGGUAAUGGCCUACCAAGGCAACGAUGCAUAGCCGACCUGAGAGGGUGAUCGGCCACACUGGGACUGAGACACGGCCCAGACUCCUACGGGAGGCAGCAGUAGGGAAUCUUCCGCAAUGGACGAAAGUCUGACGGAGCAACGCCGCGUGUAUGAAGAAGGUUUUCGGAUCGUAAAGUACUGUUGUUAGAGAAGAACAAGGAUAAGAGUAACUGCUUGUCCCUUGACGGUAUCUAACCAGAAAGCCACGGCUAACUACGUGCCAGCAGCCGCGGUAAUACGUAGGUGGCAAGCGUUGUCCGGAUUUAUUGGGCGUAAAGCGCGCGCAGGCGGUCUUUUAAGUCUGAUGUGAAAGCCCCCGGCUUAACCGGGGAGGGUCAUUGGAAACUGGAAGACUGGAGUGCAGAAGAGGAGAGUGGAAUUCCACGUGUAGCGGUGAAAUGCGUAGAUAUGUGGAGGAACACCAGUGGCGAAGGCGACUCUCUGGUCUGUAACUGACGCUGAGGCGCGAAAGCGUGGGGAGCAAACAGGAUUAGAU